CAAACAGGGGGUGAGACAUCCACUUCAUCCAUACAACAGACACCCAGUGUUGGGAUCUUAACUGAACCUUCUGGUGACCAAGAAGGGAGCGAGGGAUCCACUUCAUCCAUACUACAGACACCCAGUGUUGGGUUCUUAACUGAACCUUCUAGAGACCAAGAAGGGAGGAAGAGAUCCACUUCAUCCAUACAACAGGUAAUUACAUUUUAUCAGUAUAUACCAGGUUUGACUUUACAGCUUUCUUUGGAAAUCAUUG